rnacentral:rRNA from 1 species
GACGAACGCUGGCGGCGUGCUUAACACAUGCAAGUCGAACGGAAAGGCCCUGCUUUUUUGGUUUGCUCGAGUGGCGAACGGGUGAGUAACACGUGAGUAACCUGCCCUUUACUUUGGGAUAACUUCAGGUAACUUGGGCUAUUACCGUAUAGUAGCUCCUGCUGCAUGUUGGGGGUUGGAAAGUUUCGGCUGUUGGGUAUUGACUCGCGGCUUAUCAGCUUGUUGGUGGGGUAGUGGCUUACCAAGGCUUUGACGGGUAGCCGGAAUGAGAGGGUGACCGGAGAGAAUGGGACUGAGAGACGGACCAGAAUAGAACGGGAGGCAGCAGUGGGGAAUAUUGCAGAAUGGGAGGAAGACAGAUGCAGCAAAGCAGGGUGCGGGAUGACGGGAUUCGGGUUGUAAAAAGAUUUCGAAUGUGACGAAGAGUGAGUGACGGUAAUGGGUAAAGAAGCACCGGCUAACUACGUG